GAGUUUUGACAGGAGGUCUGUAACUGUGUAGCAUGAAGCAUGAAGCCUAGUUUUGGCAGAUACAUCAUCAGAAGAAAGAAGAGGUCCAGAGUACAGCUAGCUAUUUUUAACUAGCUUCUACUGUCAGAAUCUUGAAGACAUCAGAAUGAAUAGCCUCAUCAUCUCUCCAGGAGGUUGGCACUGCAGCUCUCCAUCCACACCCCAGCCGCCCCUCAUCCACUUCUUUAUCCCUACUGCAUGAAAUUAAAGUUCCCAGGCUGCUGCACUGCCACAGUGUACCUUGGAAAAGUAGUGGGGGGCACCUCUAGUGAGACUCUCUUCUCUAUUCUCCCUACCUCUACUCAGCCCAGCUUUAUGACCUCUCUUCAUCAUCUUCUGGAGGUCUCCUGGGAGGCCAAUCAGCUGACUAGGGGCCAGAACCCAGCCCAUCCACGAGGGAUUUAAACGGCUGCUGGGAGCACACCAGGGAUCAGUGUUGGGCCCAGUCCUGUUUAAUAUCUUUAUUGAUGAUCUGGAUGAGGGGAUUGAGUCCAUCAUCAGCAAAUUUGCAGAUGACACCAAGCUGGGGAGGAGUGUCAAUGAGCUGGAAGGCCAGAGGGCUCUGCAGAGAGACCUGGACAGGCUGGAUCCAUGGGCUGAUUCCAGUGGGAUGAGGUUCAACCAGGCCAAGUGCCGGGUCCUGCACUUUGGCCACAACAACCCCCUGCAGCCCCACGGGAUGGGACAGAGUGGCUGGAAAGCAGCCAGGCAGGAAGGGACCUGGGAGUGGGGAUGGACAGGGAGCUGAACAGGAGCCAGA